rnacentral:rRNA from 1 species
CCGAGAUUCCCCCAGUAGCGGCGAGCGAACGGGGAGCAGCCCAGAGUCUGAAUCAGCUUGUGUGUUAGUGGAACGGUCUGGAAAGUCCGACGGUACAGGGUGAUAGUCCCGUACACCAAAAUGCACAGGCUGUGAACUCGAAGAGUAGGGCGGGACACGUGGUAUCCUGUCUGAAUAUGGGGGGACCAUCCUCCAAGGCUAAAUACUCCUGACUGACCGAUAGUGAACCAGUACCGUGAGGGAAAGGCGAAAAGAACCCCGGCGAGGGGAGUGAAAAAGAACCUGAAACCGUGUACGUACAAGCAGUGGGAGCACCUUCGGGUGUGACUGCGUACCUUUUGUAUAAUGGGUCAGCGACUUAUAUUCUGUAGCAAGGUUAACCGUAUAGGGGAGCCGCAGGGAAACCGAGUCUUAACUGGGCGUUAAGUUGCAGGGUAUAGACCCGAAACCCGGUGAUCUAGCCAUGGGCAGGUUGAAGGUUGGGUAACACUAACUGGAGGACCGAACCGACUAAUGUUGAAAAAUUAGCGGAUGACUUGUGGCUGGGGGUGAAAGGCCAAUCAAACCGGGAGAUAGCUGGUUCUCCCCGAAAGCUAUUUAGGUAGCGCCUCGUGAACUCAUCUUCGGGGGUAGAGCACUGUUUCGGCUAGGGGGUCAUCCCGACUUACCAACCCGAUGCAAACUACGAAUACCGAAGAAUGUUAUCACGGGAGACACACGGCGGGUGCUAACGUCCGUCGUGAAGAGGGAAACAACCCAGACCGCCAGCUAAGGUCCCAAAGUCAUGGUUAAGUGGGAAACGAUGUGGGAAGGCACAGACAGCCAGGAUGUUGGCUUAGAAGCAGCCAUCAUUUAAAGAAAGCGUAAUAGCUCACUGGUCGAGUCGGCCUGCGCGGAAGAUGUAACGGGGCUAAACCAUGCACCGAAGCUGCGGCAGCGACACUAUGUGUUGUUGGGUAGGGGAGCGUUCUGUAAGCCUGCGAAGGUGUGCUGUGAGGCAUGCUGGAGGUAUCAGAAGUGCGAAUGCUGACAUAAGUAACGAUAAAGCGGGUGAAAAGCCCGCUCGCCGGAAGACCAAGGGUUCCUGUCCAACGUUAAUCGGGGCAGGGUGAGUCGACCCCUAAGGCGAGGCCGAAAGGCGUAGUCGAUGGGAAACAGGUUAAUAUUCCUGUACUUGGUGUUACUGCGAAGGGGGGACGGAGAAGGCUAUGUUAGCCGGGCGACGGUUGUCCCGGUUUAAGCAUGUAGGCUGGUUAUCCAGGCAAAUCCGGAUAAUCAAGGCUGAGGUGUGAUGACGAGGCACUACGGUGCUGAAGUAACAAAUGCCCUGCUUCCAGGAAAAGCCUCUAAGCAUCAGGUAACAUCAAAUCGUACCCCAAACCGACACAGGUGGUCAGGUAGAGAAUACCAAGGCGCUUGAGAGAACUCGGGUGAAGGAACUAGGCAAAAUGGUGCCGUAACUUCGGGAGAAGGCACGCUGGUGUGUAGGUGAAGUCCCUGCGGAUGGAGCUGAGACCAGUCGAAGAUACCAGCUGGCUGCAACUGUUUAUUAAAAACACAGCACUGUGCAAACACGAAAGUGGACGUAUACGGUGUGACGCCUGCCCGGUGCCGGAAGGUUAAUUGAUGGGGUUAUCCGUAAGGAGAAGCUCUUGAUCGAAGCCCCGGUAAACGGCGGCCGUAACUAUAACGGUCCUAAGGUAGCGAAAUUCCUUGUCGGGUAAGUUCCGACCUGCACGAAUGGCGUAAUGAUGGCCAGGCUGUCUCCACCCGAGACUCAGUGAAAUUGAACUCGCUGUGAAGAUGCAGUGUACCCGCGGCAAGACGGAAAGACCCCGUGAACCUUUACUAUAGCUUGACACUGAACAUUGAGCCUUGAUGUGUAGGAUAGGUGGGAGGCUUUGAAGCGUGGACGCCAGUCUGCGUGGAGCCAACCUUGAAAUACCACCCUUUAAUGUUUGAUGUUCUAACGUUGGCCCCUGACCGGGGUUGCGGACAGUGUCUGGUGGGUAGUUUGACUGGGGCGGUCUCCUCCCAAAGCGUAACGGAGGAGCACGAAGGUUAGCUAAUCCUGGUCGGACAUCAGGAGGUUAGUGCAAUGGCAUAAGCUAGCUUGACUGCGAGCGUGACGGCGCGAGCAGGUGCGAAAGCAGGUCAUAGUGAUCCGGUGGUUCUGAAUGGAAGGGCCAUCGCUCAACGGAUAAAAGGUACUCCGGGGAUAACAGGCUGAUACCGCCCAAGAGUUCAUAUCGACGGCGGUGUUUGGCACCUCGAUGUCGGCUCAUCACAUCCUGGGGCUGAAGUAGGUCCCAAGGGUAUGGCUGUUCGCCAUUUAAAGUGGUACGCGAGCUGGGUUUAGAACGUCGUGAGACAGUUCGGUCCCUAUCUGCCGUGGGCGCUGGAGAAUUGAGGGGGGCUGCUCCUAGUACGAGAGGACCGGAGUGGACGCAUCACUGGUGUUCGGGUUGUCAUGCCAAUGGCACUGCCCGGUAGCUAAAUGCGGAAGAGAUAAGUGCUGAAAGCAUCUAAGCACGAAACUUGCCCCGAGAUGAGUUCUCCCUGAGACUAUAAGUCUCCUGAAGGAACGUUAAAGACGAUGACGUUGAUAGGCCGGGUGUGUAAGCGCAGCGAUGCGUUGAGCUAACCGGUACUAAUGAACCGUGAGGCUUAACCUU